rnacentral:tRNA from 1 species
GCCUUGAUGGUGAAAUGGUAGACACGCGAGACUCAAGAUCUCGUGCUGAAGAGCGUGGAGGUUCGAGUCCUCUUCAAGGCA